rnacentral:rRNA from 1 species
UACGGAGGGUGCAAGCGUUAUCCGGAUUCACUGGGUUUAAAGGGUGCGUAGGAGGACAGGUAAGUCAGUGGUGAAAUCUCCGAGCUUAACUUGGAACUGCCGUUGAUACUAUCUGCCUUGAAUAUUUGUGGAGGUGAGCGGAAUAUGUCAUGUAGCGGUGAAAUGCUUAGAUAUGACAUAGAACACCAAUUGCGAAGGCAGCUCGCUACACAUAUAUUGACUCUGAGGCACGAAAGCGUGAGGAUCAAACAGG